rnacentral:rRNA from 1 species
GAUGAACGCUAGCUACAGGCUUAACACAUGCAAGUCGAGGGGAAACGACAUCGAAAGCUUGCUUUUGAUGGGCGUCGACCGGCGCACGGGUGAGUAACGCGUAUCCAACCUGCCCACCACUUGGGGAUAACCUUGCGAAAGUAAGACUAAUACCCAAUGACGUCUCUAGAAGACAUCUGAAAGAGAUUAAAGAUUCAUCGGUGAUGGAUGGGGAUGCGUCUGAUUAGCUUGUUGGCGGGGUAACGGCCCACCAAGGCGACGAUCAGUAGGGGUUCUGAGAGGAAGGUCCCCCACAUUGGAACUGAGACACGGUCCAAACUCCUACGGGAGGCAGCAGUGAGGAAUAUUGGUCAAUGGACGAGAGUCUGAACCAGCCAAGUAGCGUGCAGGAUGACGGCCCUAUGGGUUGUAAACUGCUUUUAUAAGGGAAUAAAGUGAGUCUCGUGAGACUUUUUGCAUGUACCUUAUGAAUAAGGACCGGCUAAUUCCGUG